rnacentral:rRNA from 1 species
CCUACGGGUGGCUGCAGUGAGGAAUAUUGGUCAAUGGACGAGAGUCUGAACCAGCCAAGUAGCGUGAAGGAUGACUGCCCUAUGGGUUGUAAACUUCUUUUAUAUGGGAAUAAAACGUUCCACGUGUGGGAUUUUGUAUGUACCAUAUGAAUACGGAUCGGCUAACUCCGUGCCAGCAGCCGCGGUAAUACGGAGGAUCCGAGCGUUAUCCGGAUUUAUUGGGUUUAAAGGGAGCGUAGGUGGAUUGUUAAGUCAGUUGUGAAAGUUUGCGGCUCAACCGUAAAAUUGCAGUUGAAACUGGCAGUCUUGAGUACAGUAGAGGUGGGCGGAAUUCGUGGUGUAGCGGUGAAAUGCUUAGAUAUCACGAAGAACUCCGAUUGCGAAGGCAGUUCACUGGACUGCAACUGACACUGAGGCUCGAAAGUGUGGGUAUCAAACAGGAUUAGAUACCCUUGUAGUC